AGAUGUGGGUUCAUCUAUAUAAUGGGGGACCUGGGGGGUUGAGGCAGAAGAACUCCCGAAACCGCUGGAAGCAGAAGUGCCGGAAGACAUUUCGAAUACCUUCAAAUGAAGACCCUAAAGAUCCCGAAGCAAACAGAUGGGAUAAAAGAUGAGAGGUCACAGGAGACUAACUCAGAGGAAUAUGAUAGAAGAAAAUGGUGAAGAAAAGGCCCCUAAGUGGCAGGAAGAAAAAUGAAGGUUCUGGGACUAACCUAGAUUGCUCUGAGGGAUGCAGAGGGGCG
rnacentral:lncRNA from 1 species